AUUGAACGCUGGCGGCAGGCCUAACACAUGCAAGUCGAGCGGAUGAAGGGAGCUUGCUCCUGGAUUCAGCGGCGGACGGGUGAGUAAUGCCUAGGAAUCUGCCUGGUAGUGGGGGAUAACGUCCGGAAACGGGCGCUAAUACCGCAUACGUCCUGAGGGAGAAAGUGGGGGAUCUUCGGACCUCACGCUAUCAGAUGAGCCUAGGUCGGAUUAGCUAGUUGGUGGGGUAAAGGCCUACCAAGGCGACGAUCCGUAACUGGUCUGAGAGGAUGAUCAGUCACACUGGAACUGAGAAACGGUCCAGACUCCUACGGGAGGCAGCAGUGGGGAAUAUUGGACAAUGGGCGAAAGCCUGAUCCAGCCAUGCCGCGUGUGUGAAGAAGGUCUUCGGAUUGUAAAGCACUUUAAGUUGGGAGGAAGGGCAGUAAGUUAAUACCUUGCUGUUUUGACGUUACCAAAAGAAUAAGCACCGGCUAACUUCGUG
rnacentral:rRNA from 1 species